CCUGAAUCAAUGGAGAUACCAAGUGGAGUGGUGAAUAUUAGGGAGAUCAAAACUGUCACUACACCAUCUCUCUCUUCUGUUCAUGUUCAUGGAUUGUGGUCACUAACUGAACCAUCAAUGACUAGUUUCAAUACGAAGAGUAUAUCUUAAUCUUCUUUUCUCCGAACUUGAAAUCAAGAAGUAUUGUAAAACAUUUAUACAAGACCAUCUUCCAACAAAUUCUGAAUAAAAGAAAUGCAGUGCC
rnacentral:lncRNA from 1 species